ACCUUCUACAGUCUAUUUUAAGCUGUUUUCCUUCAGCCUUAACCAUUUGAUAGUUUCCCAAAAUGUAAUUUAAUCAUAUCUGAUUGCUUGCUGGAAUCUUUAAUUAACUUAGGUACAAGUGAAUUAACAGUAUUUACCAGGUGCUGCAUAAUUUAGCAGGAGCUACUUGUGGCACAUGUGUGGGAAAUAAGUUGGCUGCUUGACUUUAUUGGCUACAAUACUUUAAGUUUAUGAUCAGCUAAGUUUUAUUACUGUAUUUCUGUUCUUGGAUGACUCACACGUGAAAUACCAUGAGAGUAUAUUCUCCCUGUGACCAAACUGUCCCUUGCAAUUAUGCCACGUGGUAAUUGUUACUGCAAAAGAGUCAGCCUGUUUGGAGGCAUCGCCUGUAAUGAGUGGUAUCCAGAAACACUGACUCACUGAAGUCAUGGAACAAUAAUGAAGGUUAACUGUCCAAAGGAAACACAGCAAAUGAAAACAUUUCUGAAAUGCCUAUUGCUCACGCUUGAUUUCUGGAGGGGGAAGAAGAAAAGUAAAUUGUUCAUGCAGAACUGUGCAGAGACACUCGUUUCAUUUUCUUGUUCCCUCCUAAGCAGUGCACAGAGACUGCCCGGCUGUGAGGCUUAA
rnacentral:lncRNA from 1 species